rnacentral:lncRNA from 1 species
AACUUCCGAGAAAUACGUAACGUUAUAAUAUCAAGGCGAUAUUGAUUAUGUAAUAAUAAUCUAAGUAUGGAAAACGUAAUAUUUCGCAUGUGGACCUAAAUUGAGAACGUUAGGUUUAUUAAGCGUAAAGGAAGAAAAUUAUGAUCGUAUAAUGUGUAUACAUUGUAUGAAGUGAUGAAUGUAAGUAUAAUACGACGUAUUGUACUAUUAUGUAUGAAGAACGAGAUAACGUAUAUUACGAACUAGUAUACGAGUUAGCAUACGAAGAUUAUACGUGGGGUAUAAUUGUUAAGAUGGUUA